rnacentral:rRNA from 1 species
CACGUAGGGUGCGAGCGUUUGUCCGGAAUUAUUGGGCGUAAAGAGCUCGUAGGCGGUCUGUUACGUCCGCUGUGAAAACCCAGGGCUUAACCCUGGGCUUGCAGUGGAUACGGGUAGACUAGAGGCAGGUAGGGGAGAAUGGAAUUCCCGGUGUAGCGGUGAAAUGCGCAGAUAUCGGGAGGAACACCGGUGGCGAAGGCGGUUCUCUGGGCCUGACCUGACGCUGAGGAGCGAAAGCGUGGGGAGCGAACAGG